CACCCCAACCUAUCCAGCCUCCCAACCCCCAGCCUGGGGCUCUCGGCCAAAUUCCACCUUAAAAAGCAUUUGACUUCUGGGAUCCAGGAUUAUUUGAGGGGAUCUGGGGUCACUCCUCCAGACUCUCUCAGCUUGGAGAAGGAGAGCAGUGUCAAGGCAUCCCUGAGAAGGACCCUGUGACAGUGAUGACACCCGCCAGCCUGACGGCACCAGGCUCUCUGCCAAACACCUCCCCUGCUUUAGCUCCUUGAAGCCCCAUCAAUAUUUAUUUCUGAGUGUUCCAUGAAGCACAUGUAAUGCUUUGGUAAUCACAGCGACGGACAAAAAAUGUUUUUAAAGACAAAGGGCACCCCCCCCCCCACCAUCCAUCACCCUCUCCAAACAUCUAGAACAACCGGUGUACGCAGGUAACCCUCCAGCCUGUGUUACCAGGAAAUGUUUAUGCAUCACAUGGGGUUUUGUCCCGAGUGCACAUUAUUAAUUAUUAAAGACAUGUCGUCCACCCUGUCAGAACAGUUUAAUGUUUAGUUGGGGGACUGAAACAUUAAUGUGUUUGUCCCUUGACUUCACAUACUUUUGCUUAGGUGUCGACUAAAAAAAAAAAAAAAAAGAAGAAA